rnacentral:lncRNA from 9 species
AAUGCAAAGAUUCGUAGAUUUCUCUAAGCGUCUUAAAAGUUUAGCCUACAAGCAACUUGGAAGCCAUCAGAGACUUAAGCAAUGAAAUGUUGUGGCAGCUUUUUGUUUUGUUCUAUUUUUCCCUACAUGUAGAAGAUGCUGUAUGAGGAUUCUUUGCUGCCUUUUCCGCCAUCAGGUAUUUAAGAUCAUUUGGGAGAGCAGGUGCUUGAAGAUUAGCUCCGACAGAAGAGGGAGAUGUGGAUUGGUUGGAGUAGAGUAAAGGGUUUCCUGCAUCACAGUGGAUUUGCUGAGAUCCCACUCUUUUUGAAGGAAACUACUCUGGACCAAUGGAAAUGGUUAAACCAUAGGAUUAUAUUACUUUUCGUUUGUGGGCACAUCCAGGUGGAAAUAAGUACUUGCAUUCUUAUCAGCAGAAGGAAAAUUUUUAGCAUAUAGGAAGAACUAUUGUCAGCAUCUGUGGAAAAAGCCUUAGCUUUACUCCCCCAUGGAAGAAAGCAAACGAAAGCCGCCCCAUGAAUUUAACUUGAUAGAUGUUGAUUCUCUGCCUGAAGAAGAGAACCAAGCUGGGAAAGCUGGACUGGAAAGUAGGAAGAGUUUGCUUCCAUAAGACCAAUGGUCUGUCUGUGACAGACAGUGGCUCAGUUUUGACAAGCAUGUAGAGAGUACAUACAUUGGCCGAAUCCUGCAUUGGAGGUCAGAGAUAUAAAGUUUGCCAGUAUCCUGCGGCCUGUGAUCCAGCAGCAUGCCCCAGGAUUCCUGAAAAGAAACACUUGGAGAAGCCCAGUACUGUGGUCUUGCAGAACUGCAUACCUGCUAUAACAUACUAAUAUAUAGGAACAAGAACCCAAUUCUGCUAAAUCAACUGGCUCCUAAAGAUUUUAUGACUUGGAAUAACUGAAUCUCACUGUCUCGUCCCAACAUGACCCCAAAGAGAAUGACUUGACGGGUUAAAUGUAUGUUUGGGCUCUAAAGUUGUACAGAUCUAGAUUCAGAACAAGGUUUGCCACAGAAUCACUGUGUGACUUUGGACAGGGGAAAAGUAAAUCUAAGUAGAUGUUCUCAUGUUUCCCCACUUCACGCUAGUACACUACCUCAGUGUGCUGUGCUAGGGGAGAAUCUGCCUGGACUGCGCACUGGAGGAGUUUAAGGUCUUGGAGCCUACGUCAGGUGGAACAUGCCCAACUUACUGGUCACCAUUAUAAUCUCACCAGGAUACCAUAUGUCUUAGACUAUGCUCCAUCUCAUCAAAGAGACUUCUGGUGUGUUUAACAAAAAGGAAAAACAGUGAAAAGAGGAGGUAACCCCAUUCUAUUUCUCUCUCGGUGACAAAUUGCUGGGAUCUACAAUUAUUUGAAGAUUCUAAAGAUAGAGCACUGAUGACCCAAAAGCUCUUCUCAAAUUUCAUUUAUUCUAAUAGCUUCUGAAAAACCACUCCCAGGAGUAUUAACUCUUAUUGUAAAGGUAGGAAGUUUAUGCAAUUUAUAGUAGUGCAUUGUAUUUUGUCACAUUGACUUUAUCUCACAAGAGCCUGUUUGUGUCUACUCUGCUUUGGUCAUGAGAAAUGCAUUAUCCAAUUACUUAUGUAGUCUCUUUGCUACUAUGGAAAUAGGCAAUUCAAUUCAUUGGUUAAGUCGCUAAAACGGAUGUCAUUGGAUCUCUGUUAAGUCUGACUAAGAUGCAUAACUCUGAAUAAUGCUUUGAUGUGUACUUCCUUCUAUGACUUAGGAAUUUACCUGUUGUUGAAUUGGCACUGAUGAAUUUUAGUACAUGAUUAUGCAAUUCCCCUAAGGCUUGUAAAUAAAAC